AUGAGUCACCUCUUUUGGAACUGCCGGGGGGGGAACCGCCGGACAGUUCGUGAAGUUGGGGCUCUUGUAAAAGCCCAUUCCCCAAGCUUGGUCUUUCUCGCUGAAACAAGACAGACAAGUGUUAAAGUUGAAAGAAUGAAGUGGAAAUUAGGUCUCAAAGGAUUCUGCGGGGUGGAUUGUGAGGGCCGAGGCGGUGGACUAGAGCUGUUUUGGGAUGAAUCCCUCUGGGUGACAGUGCUGGAUUCCUGUAAAAGAUACAUCGAUGUGAAUGUUGAGGAUCAAGGUUCCGGGAAAACUUGGAGGUCCACCUUUGUCUAUGGGGAACCACGUGUGGAACAUCGGCAGCGCAUG
rnacentral:rRNA from 1 species